rnacentral:rRNA from 1 species
UACAGAGGGUGCGAGCGUUGUCCGGAAUCACUGGGCGUAAGGGCGCGUAGGCGGCCUGAUAAGUAGGGGGGUGAAAUCCUGUGGCUUAACUGCAGGGCUGCCUCCUAGACUGUUAGGCUCGAGCACGGUAGAGGCAGAUGGAAUUCCCGGUGUAGCGGUGGAAUGCGUAGAGAUCGGGAAGAACAUCGGUGGCGAAGGCGGUCUGCUGGGCCGUUGCUGACGCUGAGGCGCGACAGCGUGGGGAGCAAACAGG